rnacentral:rRNA from 1 species
GAUGAACGCUGGCGGCGUGCCUAAUACAUGCCAGUCGAGCGAACGGACGAGAAGCUUGCUUCUCUGAUGUUAGCGGCGGACGGGUGAGUAACACGUGGAUAACCUACCUAUAAGACUGGGAUAACUUCGGGAAACCGGAGCUAAUACCGGAUAAUAUUUUGAACCGCAUGGUUCAAAAGUGAAAGACGGUCUUGCUGUCACUUAUAGAUGGAUCCGCGCUGCAUUAGCUAGUUGGUAAGGUAACGGCUUACCAAGGCAACGAUGCAUAGCCUACCUGAGAGGGUGAUCGGCCACACUGGAACUGAGACACGGUCCAGACUCCUACGGGAGGCAGCAGUAGGGAAUCUUCCGCAAUGGGCGAAAGCCUGACGGAGCAACGCCGCGUGAGUGAUGAAGGUCUUCGGAUCGUAAAACUCUGUUAUUAGGGAAGAACAUAUGUGUAAGUAACUGUGCACAUCUUGACGGUACCUAAUCAGAAAGCCACGGCUAACUACGUG